GGUUCCGUAGCUCAGUUGGUCAGAGCGUUCGGUUUACAUCCGAAAGGUCAGAGGUUCGAGCCCUCUCGGAACCA
rnacentral:tRNA from 1 species